GAAAUUUAAAGGGCCGCGGUAUUUUGACCGUGCGAAGGUAGCAUAAUCAAUAGUCUUUUAAUUGAAGGCUGGUAUGAAUGGUUGAAUGAGAUAUAUACUGUUUUUUUAAAAAUUUUAUAGAACUUUAUUUUUUAAUUAAAAAGUUAAAAUAUAAUUAAAAGACGAGAAGACCCUAUAGAUCUUUAUUUUUAUAAAUUAUAGUUUAUAAAGAAUUUUAAAAAUUAUAUUUUAAAUAAAAUUUUACUGGGGUGGUAUUAAAAUUAAAUUAACUUUUAUUAUUUUUAUACAUAAAUUUAUGAAUAAAAGAUCCUGUUAUAUGGAUUAAAAAUUUAAGUUACCUUAGGGAUAACAGCGUAAUUUUUUUAGAGAGUUCAUAUCGAUAAAAAAGAUUGCGACCUCGAUGUUGGAUUAAGAGUUAUUUUUAGGUGUAGAAGUUUAAAGUUUAGGUCUGUUCGACCUUUGAAUUCUUACAUGAUCUGAGUUCCAAACCGGAGA
rnacentral:rRNA from 1 species